rnacentral:lncRNA from 1 species
GUACCUCAUCUCCAACCUCACCAACCUCUUCCUUGCCGUCCGACUCCAGGAGGCUGAAGUCGAGAUCAAAAAAAUGGUUUCUGACCUUCUCCUUGAAAUCCUCGGCUCCCUGCAUGUAAGAAAGCAAGGCAAACUCUAACUUGAUCUCCAGAAAUUCAGUCGAAGACUUGAAAGCCCGAAUCAAGGCGACCUUGGCAGCCUCCAGCUCCCCCUUAUGCUUCUUCUUCUCAAUUGAUAACCGAGCUUCAGUUUUUACCU